UCUUCAUGCCAGCUCCACCUGAUGAUAAUCCCUGCUUGAAUUUAGGCAUUAAAUCACCACAGCUGAGUUGGUCUGAAACAAAUCAAAAGAACUUUGGUCAGGCCCUCUGUCUGCAAGAGUGGGCAUUGAGAAACAGACUGAAAACCAGAAGGCUCCAUAAGUAUUCAUACUCCUCUGAUUGUACACCAAAGAAUUUGUACAGAAAGGCUGCUUCUGAAGAAUCGGGAGUGUUUUCUGCAGCAAAAAAGAAGCAGCAAGUCCAACAGUUAUGAUUCCUGGAGGGCAGCUUGUAGAGAUGCUGUGCAAGCAGAGAGGCUUCAACAGGAAAAGUAACCAAGGAGGAUUUUGCUAAAGCUUCUGUCCAUGUGACACAGACAUUCAAGUUACUCCUGUGCACACAUCCAGAAUCUUUUCCCAGGCUACUGCAGCAAAAAAUAUACAAAUUGUCCAACUUCCUUUUUGUUUUAUCAGUGAUUUUGUUGUGAUUUUGUUUGUUUAUAGUUUCUGGGAGUCAUAUGAUAACUAUGCGUUUUCCUCUGUGGUAGCAUUUGUCUCUGAUCUGAUUACAACUCUAUACCAUUGCAAAAUGUACAUAUAUUGUUUGUUGCUUCAUAAUAAGAUCACAGAAAACAGAACGUUAAAAAAUUAAAGUGGAAUCAAAAUAUGUGUGUGCAUGUGUAAAAUGAAUGGUGGCUUUUUUAGCUAUAUCUCAAGGAACCACUGUUACCUUGGAUGUUUCCAUGUGAUUUUUCUGUUUUUUUUUGAUUAUUCAGGUUAGACCUAUUUUUACAUCAAUGUAUAUAUAAAGUUAUUGAUAAAAAAGGAAGUGCACUUAAUUCGAAGGUGUUUCCAAUAUGAACUCUAAUGAUUACUUGGUUUUGUGAUUUAUGUCAAAUUCUUCCCUUCCAUUUUAAGUAUUUGUUUUUAAGAUAUUAUGAUAAUAAUGACUAUUGAUAAGAUAUAUAGUGACUAUUGAUAAGAUAUAUAGAGAUAUAUAGAACUAUAUUCAGGCUGUCAGACUGAACAGGACUGGUGUGAUUAAAAUGUUGCAAUAUUUUAGAAUACUUGCUUGCCCUAACAGAUUGCUUCUGGAGUGAACUACCAGUGGUGUAAGAUUUUCAGUGAAUGAAAAACUCAAAUCCAAGGACUUAAUGUUGAUUCAUGCAUUCAGCAGAGUUGAAACUGAACUAUUUGUCUUAAAUAUGGCCAUAUCUCUGGUUUUUAUCCUACCUGGAUAAGUAAUAUUAAUCUCCUUUCCAAUAUUUUCCUGGGGAAUGUGAAAUUUAAUUUUUAUGCCAGGCCAUCUUAGGUUGAAAUGUCUUUGAGCUUUCCUGUAACUUCUGAAGAGAAGUAGUCAUCACAGGCAUGCCUGUGGCACUGAGGUAAAAAUGUACACGUUUGUGAAGGAAUAAAAUUUCCACCAUAGUGGAGGAGCACUCUGGAUUCUGUGCUGUGCAUCAAACACCCCACAUGUAUUGUGUUGUACACAGCCUCAGAUACCCAACUUAAAUUUUCCCUGGGAUCAUUCCCAGCCCCAGCUGACUCACUGUAGUGGCUUCAACCAAGAUGUUUUUCCUUCUGGUGGUGGUUUGUUCUUCUUGGAUGCAACACAUGAGAAUCUCAGUGUCUGUUGCUUUGUUCUGGGACUGGCCCCAUGGUUACAGUUCUGUUCAGAGCACUUUUGCUGAAUUAGGCUGUUCCUUUAGUACAGCUGUGUGCUGCUUUUUGCUUGGGCUGAUUUUAGUCUCUGCAAUUUUUUUUUUUUUUGCUCCCUUUCAAGUUCCCUUUUCUUCCCUAGGACUGGUUGCAACAGAGCAAGGGCUAGGAAUAUGUCUCAACUUGUGUGUGGCAAAUCUUCUCUGGAGGGCCUAAGUCAACUAACAAGAAUUUGGUAGAAUAUUUUCUCCCAACCAUCUCAAGCAAAACUCUGGGUCAAUUACCCAGUGGUCCACAGUCAUAGACUGCAGCAUUGUCCUCUCACUACUGUUGCACAUAGAAAUAUGGGGCUUCAGAUGUUUCCUGCUUUCUUUUUUGACUCUUUUCCCAUGCUAUUAAACAUUUUUAGUUGGCCUUUGGGAGAAAAGAAAGUGUUAUGAUAACAGAAGAAAAAGUGCUAAAAGUAUGUGGCUAAACUCCUCUUCUGCAUGCACAGCUUAAAUAGCAGCAUGUCCCCGAUGUUCUUCAGGAGCUGCUGAAAUGCAGCUGAUGAAAACAGAGCUCAGGAAAAUCUGAAAUGAUGGUGUAGAAAAAAAGUGAUUUUCAUAACUUGCUUGUACUUAAUUUCUUUCCUCUGUUUAUGACAGCUGCUUUCAGACUACUCUGGACUCUAGUUUUUAUUUAUUUAGAGACUUCUUAGUGGUUCCAGAAGCUCAGUGGCAGUACAGUUCCAUCUGUGAUGUUAGUUCCAUCUAUGGUGAGUGAGAGGAAGGUUCUAAGUUCAGUGAAAUGCAUCACAGCAGUGAUCCACACAUGAACCUCAGGUUUGGCUACCACAGCAGGGAUUUCUGCUGAAUGCUUGGACAGGUAUAAGCAAAUGUAUCAGUAAGUGACUGCGUGUGUUUCAAAGGCUGAGUAGCUUUAUGACCACCAGCAGACUCCUGUUUAUUUAGCGGGAAGGGGAGAUUUGUUUUGAAAAGUCUGAAAUGGAAAUACCUACAUGGACUUCAGCUGUUGAAUUCUGAUGUUAUUAUUCAAUUAUAUAUUUUGUAAAAAAUGCUAUAUUGUCAUGAGUAUGCACAGAAACCUAAUCUUGCUUUUUUGUGAUUUUGAGUGAGGUAACUUGUGUGCAUUUCUUAGCUGGGAUUUUAUUUGGCUUAUUCCUUUCAAUCCUUUGUCAAACCUUGGAAAAGCUGUAAGUGUGAAGGUGCAUAGCAUAAUUUAAAACAAGGCAGCAAUGUGAUACAGUGAUCCUUUUUUGCUGGUCGUAGAGUAAGAGUAGCUCUUUUUGACACACCACAAAGGUAUAUGUACUGAGUCUCAAGGAACUUUAUAGCUGAAUAACAACUGGCUUUCAAAGGUUUAACAUUUGUUUUUCUGUGCCAAGUGUGUAUGGGAGAAGCCUAGAAGGUCAAGAGAAAAUAAGCAGAAGUCAAAGACAGAUUGUAAGACAAAUAGUAACAUCUGGUAAAUGACUUCUACAUUUGUAGAGCCCUUGUUUACUGCACUGAAUAUGAAAUGUUUUUCUUGGCAGGAUUAUAGCAUUAAAGUCCACCAGUCUGGGAAUAGAGUUCAUACAGGUUUGUAACAUUACUAAUACACAGUAAAAACCAUCAAAUAUAAUUGCAUUAAAAACCUGUAUGUCGUAAAAAAUAAUCCUCAUCAGUAAUGCUAAAAAGUUAGAAAAUACAUAGAUUUUGUAGUCUUUUGUCAUUUUUGAGAGGUAUUUUGAAUAUUUCUGCUGGUUCAUAUGCAUGUAUAAAAUGCUUUGACUGUGCUCUCUGUCAACUGACUGUCUGUAAAUGCAUCUUUGUGCUUAUUCAAGGCCUGUUUCAGAGAAAUAAUGGAGCAAAGUAGCUAAAAACUGCUAGUGGUCUAGGCU